AGAGUUUGAUCCUGGCUCAGGAUGAACGCUAGCGACAGGCUUAACACAUGCAAGUCGAGGGGCAGCAUGAGGUAGCAAUACCUUGAUGGCGACCGGCGCACGGGUGAGUAACGCGUAUGCAACCUGCCCGAUACCGGGGUAUAGCCCAUGGAAACGUGGAUUAACACCCCAUAGUACUUUUAUCCUGCCUGGGAUGUGAGUUAAAUGUUCAAGGUAUCGGAUGGGCAUGCGUCCUAUUAGUUAGUUGGCGGGGUAACAGCCCACCAAGACGAUGAUAGGUAGGGGUUCUGAGAGGAAGGUCCCCCACAUUGGAACUGAGACACGGUCCAAACUCCUACGGGAGGCAGCAGUGAGGAAUAUUGGUCAAUGGACGAGAGUCUGAACCAGCCAAGUCGCGUGAGGGAAGACUGCCCUAUGGGUUGUAAACCUCUUUUAUAAGGGAAGAAUAAGUUCUACGUGUAGAAUGAUGCCUGUACCUUAUGAAUAAGCAUCGGCUAACUCCGUGCCAGCAGCCGCGGUAAUACGGAGGAUGCGAGCGUUAUCCGGAUUUAUUGGGUUUAAAGGGUGCGUAGGCGGUUUAUUAAGUUAGUGGUUAAAUAUUUGAGCUAAACUCAAUUGUGCCAUUAAUACUGGUAAACUGGAGUACAGACGAGGUAGGCGGAAUAAGUUAAGUAGCGGUGAAAUGCAUAGAUAUAACUUAGAACUCCGAUAGCGAAGGCAGCUUACCAGACUGUAACUGACGCUGAUGCACGAGAGCGUGGGUAGCGAACAGGAUUAGAUACCCUGGUAGUCCACGCCGUAAACGAUGCUCACUGGUUCUGUGCGAUAUAUUGUACGGGAUUAAGCGAAAGUAUUAAGUGAGCCACCUGGGGAGUACGUCGGCAACGAUGAAACUCAAAGGAAUUGACGGGGGCCCGCACAAGCGGAGGAACAUGUGGUUUAAUUCGAUGAUACGCGAGGAACCUUACCCGGGCUUGAAAGUUAGCGACGAUUCUUGAAAGAGGAUUUCCCUUCGGGGCGCGAAACUAGGUGCUGCAUGGUUGUCGUCAGCUCGUGCCGUGAGGUGUCGGGUUAAGUCCCAUAACGAGCGCAACCCCUACCGUUAGUUGCCAUCAGGUCAAGCUGGGCACUCUGGCGGGACUGCCGGUGUAAGCCGAGAGGAAGGUGGGGAUGACGUCAAAUCAGCACGGCCCUUACGUCCGGGGCUACACACGUGUUACAAUGGUAGGUACAGAGGGUAGCUACCCAGCGAUGGGAUGCGAAUCUCGAAAGCCUAUCUCAGUUCGGAUUGGAGGCUGAAACCCGCCUCCAUGAAGUUGGAUUCGCUAGUAAUCGCGCAUCAGCCAUGGCGCGGUGAA
rnacentral:rRNA from 1 species